UUAUUCUUAAUGGUUACCUUGUUUAGCGCCCGGUAGUCCACGCACAUCCUCAAAGAACCAUCGUGCUUCUUUUGGAAUAGGACCGGUGCGCCGUAAGGUGCCUUCGAUGGUCGGAUCUUCCCCGUCUCGACCAACUCGUUAAGUUGCUUUCGGAGCUCCUCAAGCUCCGGCGGUGGCAUGCGGUAGGGAGCCAUGGCGGGUGGCUUGGCUCCCGGCUCCAACUCGAUGGCAUGAUCCACCUCCCUCCUAGGUGGAAGCUUGUUGGGCAAAUUUGGUGGCAUCACGUCUUGGUUGGCCUCCAGACGGUUUGGAUGAUCGGUGGUGCGUCGUCCUCUCUGUUCACGAGCGGGCUUUCCUCCUUUAAAGUGGCUAAGAAUGUCGGCUCGCCCCGUCGAACUCCCUUGGCAACUUGCAUGGCCGACAGUUGCCUUGGUUGUGUGCUUUCUUCCUUAGUGGUGCCGUUGAUGGCCGGCACCAUGCAAGGUGUCCCCUUCUCUAAAAUGCAAACCGAAUUGAAACAAGGCAUUGGGAUAGCCAUUACCUUGCGGAAGAAGUCCAUGCCUAGCACCACCUUGAAAUCAUCCAUCGGUGCUACCGAAAAAUCCACUUGGCCCUUCCAAGUGCCUAAGUGUAGCUCCGCGUCUCGUGCUACACCGUUGACCGGUUGUGCUUUAGCGUUAACGGCCUUGAGCCAACCGUCUCGUCUUGCCCACCGUAGGCCAACCCUCUUGGCCUCGUCUUCGGUGAUGAAGUUGUGGGUCGCUCCCGUGUCCACCAUCACCUUUGCUGGGGUACCGUUGAUGCGGGCCUCCACGUACAUCAGCUCCUUGCUUGAUGUUGCCGGCAUCGGAUUAGCCUUUAAGGCGUUCAGAAGUUGGAGUGAUCCCAUGUGGCCUAGCUCCUCGUUUGUGUCUUGCUCGGCCUCUUGUUGUAGGAGUGCCGACAAGGACCCCAUCUUGGGACAUUGACUCAUCGCGUGCGGCCCUUUGCACACGAAGCAUCCUCCUUUAGGCACAAACGACUUCUUCUUCUCUUCAAGUUGAUGGCGUGAGGAUGGCUUGUCUCCUCCCCUCGAGGUUGACGCUCGCCUUGGGUCUCGGUUGUCUCGGUAGUCCCGACCAUGAUUGUCCCGUCUCUCUUCUCCGCCUUUAGUCGGGCUCCACUUCUCUUUUCGCAACGGCUCUCUCGGUUGAUACUCGGUUAAAGACUCGGCGGCGGCAAUAGCUUCAUCGACGGAUUUGAUGUCUCGUCGGUGGAGUUCUUGCUUGGCCCAGCCUUGUAACCCAUCGGUGAAGUGGAAAAGAAGGUCCUCCUCGGAGAGAUUGGGAAUUUGAAGGGUGAGGGUGGUGAACUCCGUCACGUACUCGCGGAUCGAACUUCGUUGCUUGAGUUCCCUCAACUUCCUUCGAGCCUCAUAGACGACGUUCUCCGGGUAGAAGUGUCGCUUGAGUUCCCUCUUGAACUCUUCCCAAGUAUCGAUUCGGCAAAUGCCUUUCUCGAUAUCGGCGUGCUUUCUACGCCACCAUAACAUUGCCGUAUCGGAAAGGUAAAGGGAAGAAGUUCUUACCUUAGUCGUCUCGUCGACUAGACCGAUACCCUCGAAGUAUUGCUCCAUCCUCCAUAGGAAGUUCUCGACUUCCUUGGCGUCCCUUACGCCGUUGAAUCCCGUUGGCUUCGGGCAGUCCACCCUUGGACUCGAAGUAGCGCCAACGUUACCGUUAGUGGCGGCCUUUUUGCACAAGGCCAAGUCGUCGCGCAUCCCCUCGAUGCUCUCUUGGAGGGAUUGGAUGAUGGCCUCCAAUCGAUCCAACCGUUCCUCCCGCAACGCCUCAUUGUCCCUAGACAAAUCGAGUUGCUCGGCGACGUGAUUCUCCAACACUCCCGUAUCGUGCUCGAGCUUCUCGAAUCUUUCGCUAAGCUCCGCUAUGGCGAUGUUAUUCUCGAGCCUCUCGAGUCUUUCGCCAUGAUCCGUUAGCACGGCCUCGGUACUGGUACUCUCCCCACGAGCCUUGCUGUGGUCCCUCUUCUUCUUGUUGUUUACGUGGGCCUCCCUGCCACGUCCCUCGGUCACGUACGAAAUAUCUUCAACGUUCGCCAUCGUUGAGAAUUCGAUCAACACAAAGCCCUUAGCCGGGCUCUGAUACCACUUGUCACGGACUUGUUCCCUUAACAAAGAACCGUGCGGCCUUAGCUCCUUCUCGCCCCUCGCGAUAGCUAAGUCAGCCUCUCCCGAAUUGUGUUGCGAAUACUUAAGUGAUGGAAACGAAGAAAGAUAGUAAGAAGACAAGAGAGUUGGUAGAAGAAUACUUUAUUGGAUUUGUUGGUGAAUGAUUACAAAUGAGGUCCCUACCUCUAUUUAUACAAGACCACCUCCUCAAUGGACGGUGGAGAUCGAUAUGAUCUAACGGAUGGGAGUGGAACAAUCCCUUGAUUGUCUCUACCUACCACCACCUACCCUACCUACCAAAAAUAGCUCUACCUACCACUAUAGAAUUGGGCCAUCUUGGGCCUAACCCUACUUGGGCUACAACUUGGACUCUUUGUAACCUCCCCAACCCAAGGGAAAUCGGCAAGGGGUUUGGUCAAAACUAGCGGGCCGUGACAUCCUCCCCCGCCUAAUCCGGCGACGUCCUCGUUGCCUCGAACAAGUGGAGACGAUCUCGAAAUUUUCACAAGUCUUCAUUCGUCUUCCACGUUGCCUCGUACUUGGGUAAUUCAUUUGAUGAGGCUCCAGCCCUGCCGGUUGUUUAUUCUCCACCUUGUCUUGUUGGCAAACAAGACAAGUCUUCACACAUGCAUCGACACCGUCCCGCAUGUGAGGCCAAAAGUAGGCCGUCUCGAGCAACGUCAUUGUCCUCAUUUGGCCCGGAUGCCCCGCCCACUUGGUGUCGUGGCAUUCCUUUAUGAGGUCCUUCCUCAAGCUGCCCCACUUCGGAACGAAGAGUCGCUGCCCCUUCGUGUAGAGUAAGCCGUCCUCUACCCAAAAUUUUCUCGUCUUGCCCUCCUUGACGAGUCGAAUUAGCUCCUUGGUCAUUGGAUCAUGUUCGAGCCCUUCUCGGAUCAUGUCGGCCAAGUUCCCCCUUGUCGAGCUAAUCGUUGCGGGUUCGGCUUUUCUACUCAAUGCGUCGGCCACAACGCUUGCCUUCGAUGGUCGGAUUUCCCCCAUCUCGACCAACUCGGUGGCGUGGUCCACCUCCCUCCUAGGUGGAAGCUUGUUGG
rnacentral:lncRNA from 1 species